GAGGUGUUAGUCCGAGUCCUUAGUCGUCUGGUGAGGUUUUAUUUACGAUGAAGCCGUCAAACGUUGUAAGUUCGUGAGCCGCUAAAGUUUUUCGUGCUGUUCUCUUCAGAUUUGAUCUUCAGAAAUGACCGCUCUCUUUUGCUUGUAAUGAUUUAAAGUUUUUACAUCGUUACAGGUUACCAUGGAGAUUUAAAAUGCUGUUUACUUUAGAAAAACCCUUACACUGGUAGGUUAUAUCUAAAAAUUUAAUAUUAUCUUUAAUUUACUUUAAUCUCAAUGGAAUAUAAAUAUCUCUCGAAGUAAAGUGGAGGUUAUUUUUCGUGAUUGAAGAUAACUAUUAGUAUAAUUAUCUCUUAGAUACAACGGAGUAUAAGGGGCACAAUUAGAAAAAAAAAACGUUUUUAAAUCUUAAAUAAUAAAGUUAUUAUUUGGGAGAAUAAAGUCAUUAAUAUCAGUAUUAAGUCGUAAAGUUACCUGUUGUGAAGGAGAGUUGUUAAAAUCAGCACUGUGGAGCAUUUAGAUGAAUUGUACUUUAGUAUAGGUUUCACAAACAUGGAGAUACUUAAUCCUUUGGUACAUGAGCAUUACACUGUCGUGAGUAUCAGAACUUAUAUUUGAGAUAUAUGAGAAAUGCUGCUUUUGUGGAGGGGAAAAUGGCUGGAAAUGGCUGUACAGAGGCUAAAUCCGUCAAUACAGCUGUUAAUAGCAAUAGCAUAGGGCUUUAGUUUAUCAUAUGAGUUUAUAUGCCAUGAGGUGUUGAGGUCUCUGCAUGUGUAGGUUACUGACUUACUGUAAUCAUCGGGUCUAUCUCGUUAUAAAAACCUGCUCUAUUACGGCGACUGUCUGUCUUCUUCUGUAGUCAAACCGUAAGAUAUCAAAAUCUACCCGGAU